GACGAACGCUGGCGGCGUGCUUAACACAUGCAAGUCGAACGGAAAGGCCCUGCUUUUGUGGGGUGCUCGAGUGGCGAACGGGUGAGUAACACGUGAGUAACCUGCCCUUGACUUUGGGAUAACUUCAGGAAACUGGGGCUAAUACCGGAUAGGAGCUCCUGCUGCAUGGUGGGGGUUGGAAAGUUUCGGCGGUUGGGGAUGGACUCGCGGCUUAUCAGCUUGUUGGUGGGGUAGUGGCUUACCAAGGCUUUGACGGGUAGCCGGCCUGAGAGGGUGACCGGCCACAUUGGGACUGAGAUACGGCGCAGAGUCCUACGGGAGGCAGAAGUGGGGAAUAUUGCACAAUGGGCGGAAGCCUGAUGCAGCAACGCCGCGUGCGGGAUGACGGCCUUCGGGUUGUAAACCGCUUUCGCCUGUGACGAAGCGUGAGUGACGGUAAUGGGUAAAGAAGCACCGGCUAACUACGUG
rnacentral:rRNA from 1 species